UACAGAGGGUGCAAGCGUUGUUCGGAAUUACUGGGCGUAAAGCGCGUGUAGGCGGUUUGAUAAGUCAGACGUGAAAUCCCUCAGCUUAACUGGGGAAUUGCAUCUGAUACUGUCAGACUUGAGUAUCGGAGGGGAUGGUGGAAUUCCUGGUGUAGAGGUGAAAUUCGUAGAUAUCAGGAGGAACACCUGUGGCGAAGGCGGCCAUCUGGAAGAUUACUGACGCUGAGACGCGAAAGCAUGGGGAGCAAACAGG
rnacentral:rRNA from 1 species